rnacentral:rRNA from 1 species
AACGAACGCUGGCGGCAUGCCCAACACAUGCAAGUCGAACGCGUGUAGCGAUACACGAGUGGCGGACGGGUGAGUAACGCGUGGGAACCUGCCCAAUGGGUAGGGAAUAACUGCGGGAAACUGCAGCUAAAUACCCUAUGCUCCCUACGGGGGAAAGAUUCAUCGCCAUUGGAGGGGCCCGCGUCGGAUUAGCUAGGUUGGCGGGGUAAUGGCCCACCAAGGCUACGAUCCGUAGCUGGCUGAGAGGAUGAUCAGCCACACUGGGACUGAGAUACGGCCCAGACUCCUACGGGAGGCAGCAGUGGGGAAUAUUGGACAAUGGGGGAAACCCUGAUCCAGCAAUGCCGCGUGAGUGAAGAAGGCCUUAGGGUUGUAAAGCUC